GCCCCGGUGGCUUAGUGGUAAUGCACCCACCUGCAAUGUGAGAGACCUGGGUUCGGAACUCACCAUUGGUGCC